UUUAUAUAUAUAUUUUGAUGAGAUGAUAUCAAGAAAAUUUGGAGACGUUCAAGUCUACGUGGAAUUUAAGGGUAAUUCAGCUGCUCCAGCUGCUUCGUUGGUAUGCUUAAAAUGCCUAUCACUGUGCCAAUAUCAGUCAAUGGUUUUUAUUUUAUCCCCAGUUUUGGGGAUGUAAAGAUCUCUUUCAAGCAUUGUGGUCCGAACAAACCCCAGGGCACCUUCUAAUUUUUUUAAGAUGCGUCUCGCUGCACAUCCUCAGACUUGAAUGGAGUAUGUCCAUGUAGGAAUUAUCAUUGCCUUGUACAACAAGACUUUGCUACGUAGGAGAUGUUUACUUUUUGAGUUUUUAAGUUUAUUUUGGCAUUUGUAACUGGCAUAACUGUAGUUCUGAUGUGUGGUCCCUAGUGAAGUGAACACAGAGGUAGCAGUGGAAUAAUAUUGCCAUUGAAGGUUAAGUUUGGUAGGUGUUUACUUCUUAAAUUGAAAUAUACGUUUACUGAUUCGGUUUCGUUUAUCGUAAUGCCCAUGUUUCCACGGAUUCGAGGUCAAGUUUGAGUUGCUCAGCAACGACUUUUUAGCAGGAUGAUGAGAGCAUGGCAGUAUUAUCAACAAAAGUAGCAACCAGGAAGUUACCUGGGUUGUCAUUUAAAUAGUGUAUGCAAAAUUGGACCAAGAGCGCUGUCUUUUGCGUUUUUAUACCAGAAAUCGGGUGUAAUCAUUAUAACAAUAAAAGUUCUUUCACUCAGGAAUGAUUUUAUGACCGAAUACCGGGGGACUGGUAAGAGGAUCUUUGGUUUGUAUAAAAGGUCCUUGUGCCAGACUUUGUCGAAAGUUUGUUUCACAUCGAGAAACACCCCUGAACAAUAUUACUUGGUUUCAUAUGCGUUGGGAAUGAGAUGAACAGCUCUGUGAUCUUGCUCCGGAGUCCCAUGCUGUCUCCUUAACCAAAAUUGAUGCUGUGCAGCUUUCCGCCACCAUUCUGCUCAAGAAUAUUCUUUCAAAUGUCUUUGAGAGAACUGGCAGGGCUGCCGCUGGCUUGCCUGGCUUUAAAAUCAUCACAAUCAGGCCAUUGAGUGGGUAAGUGACCGAUGCAAAGAAUGGCCUAAAAGUUGCCUACUGAAACGAGAAACAUAAUUCCCUUGCCUGCAAGCAGUCUAGCAAUGCGAUUAUCAAUUAAGUGGUGCCCAGGAGAUAUUUUUUUGACAAGGACGUUAACUUCCGCUUGGACUUCAGCGGGAGAAACUGGCUUGGCUGGUAGCGACAUCUCUAAGGGCGCUUCUAAUUACCAGGAGACUGCUAGCGUGUGAUCUUUAGGUGCGACAUCGGCCUGCAAACUCUUCUGCUUUUUCAGAGUCUGAUUCGACCCACGAUCCGUUGUCACUCGUUAAUGGAGAGCUGCACAGUGGGUGCCUCUUGAUGAAUUUCCAGAGAUUAACUUGUCCACUUUCGGAUGAAUCGGCUCUUUUUAGCGUUUCUUAGCCUUCUCUUGAUACGCAAAGAUUUUCGAUGGGAGGGUUAGGUGAUGCAACAGGUCGGGUCGAGUGCACCUCGGAUGCGCGUGUGUCUGCGAAUAGAGCUGUUUUCCAGAUAAGACUGUUAAGCUUGCGUAUAGCUGAAUCAAUGUCUUCUGGCGACUUGAUUUUCGCGGUAAGGCGAAUGUGCAGGAGCUUCUAUUUGAUGGUGGACAUAAUCGACAGAGGAUGAGUGUAUUUCCAUGAGAAGUAGUCGGCGAAAGAUCAAAGUUCGUUUGAAUGUCCAGAAAUCUAUGGGGAAAUCCUCUACAAAUAGCGAAGUCCAAGGCACUAGACAAUCUAAAGCAAUCGUGGCCAGGAUGUUGGCCACACUUGAAACUAUAAAAUCUUGUAUUUUGCGACCUCUGGGGCAGGUGAGAAGAUUUCCGCACCAUUGCUGGCUUGGCACACCAGUCCACCGCCGCAAUUUAUUUUGGGCUUUUGGACAGUAGAUCGUAGACAGUAGAAUAGAGUUUUUGUUUGUUGUUGUCACUGCAGUGGACAGUACUCAGCACUCAGAGCAGAUCUCAAAACUACAAGUAUUUUCCUUUAGCUGAUACGCUUGUGUCUACUUUCCAGCUGCCCCUUAGUACAUAUUGAAAGAUUAGAACAAAUAAUAUUAUUCAAAUGGGAAUAGGUUCCGCUGAUAUUGUAGGGUCUCUCCCACCAUUGAUCUUUGUUCCUAUACUUCAAUACUGAUAAAGGUAUCGUCUGUAUGUGGGUACGGCAAACCAUAAAACAACAUUCGUUCCUAUCGCAUAUACCCUGUAAAAUUAUGGGUGGAAUUCAAAAAAUCUAUAAAAUAUAAUUGAAAGAAAUAUUUCGAAGUAUUUCGAAACCCGCAACUUCGACAAUUCACUUUUAAAAGGGGAUCUGUUAUCGACUUGAAGAGUUCAGUCUUGUUGAUAAUUCUUGAGAUACUGCAUUGAAGUUUUACGUUCUCAUAUAUGAGAUGGUAAUCAAACCGCAACAAAUAAUAGUAUUAAAUACUUGACGUUUCUCAAGAGAGCUGGAAAUAUCGCUUAGAGGUUUUGCACGGAGUAAAUAGAUUGAUCGAUUUAUAUACAUAAUACAUUUUCUUUGUUUCAUUAUCAAGAAACCCAUGAAAUGUCACAGUGGCCAUAUCUGGCGCGCUGACGGCAUUGCAGUAAUCAAUUUCAAAGGAAAUACCAGCACGUUCAUCGGUGGGACUUGGGCGGAUACAAUAAGAUUGCCCGGUUGAAUCAUGUAUGGAAAUCGGACUGGUGACAGCAUGCGAAAUUCGCAUAGUGCACCUAGCAACGCAACCGAACCGCAGACGCGAUGAACUUUUAUGAUUUUAUAAAUAAAUGAUGCUAAAUUUACCAA